GGGAAGAAAGCGAGCUUUAAAAGAAGAAGAUUUAUAUGAAACUUCAAAAUAUCAUACUUCGGAAUAUCUUGGGGACCAACUUCAGAAAGAAUGGAACAAGGAACUUCAGAAGAAAAAUCCAAGCAUACUAAAAGCUGUAUUAAGAUUUCUUGGAUGGAAAUACUUGAUAAUAUUUUUACUUGUACUCUUUCAGGAAACAGCGUUAGUUGCCGGCCAAGUAUACUUUUUAGGACAAACAAUAAGUUAUUUGGACAACAGGCAGGAAUUUAAUUUAUACAAAGUUUAUGUAAAACUUGCAGGAUUUUUUGG